CUUAGAUUUCACCUUCCAGUUUCUUAUGGAUUUUAGUAGGAUUAUCUUCCAAUUUCUGUUCUACCAACUCUAGCUCUAUGAAAGGCUUGAUUUUCCCUUCCAAGAAGGAGGGCAGCAAGGAAACUCGUUCCCUGUGAGCACUGAUCCAGAACACACUGCAAGCAACUCUGUCACAGAAGCCUUCUUUAGGGAGAGUAAGCUCGGUUGCUACAUAACCAGACUGACACCUAGAUUAAUGUCCUACAGAAAAGACUAGGUGUGUGCCUCUCUACAAAUGAACAAUAUUUGGAACAUAGAGCAUGGGAAUGUCACACUGUUAAGCAUCUUUUCUCAUCAGUACCUGCUAGAAGUGCCUUCACUGAAAUAGAGAGAGGAAAGAAGGAUGGAAUCUAACUGGAAAAAAUCAGAUAAUUCAGUUCCUCAAGUUCAAUUCAAAUUCAGAUAUUUCAGAGUUGCUGCUGUAAACAGACUGACGAAAUACACAUAAAUGCUACCUUUUUAGAGCAAGAAUUGUUGGCUCCCUCUCCCCACCUCAGCUCCCUGGCAGAGCUGACAGCCUGAGCCUGGAGGUGGCCACCUACUGGGCUCAACACUGGCCCACUACACUGCAGUUCACCUUUGAAGACAGAGGCUAGAAGUUACACCUAGCUGCUGACACGCCUACUUGCCUGAGGACCCACUGACUUUCGAACACGCCUGCCUGCUUGGGAUCUUUGAGUUUCUAGAGUUUGGCUUCAACUGUCUGCUGCCUUGUUUACAGUACGCAUAUACCUUGUGCCUGGAGAUUUUCGGUUUCAGUUCUUGCCUGCCUAUAAAUUUUCAAAAUAUCCCCAAGUAAAGCGAUGCCUUGAUAAAAA